rnacentral:rRNA from 1 species
AGGAGAGUUUGAUCCUGGCUCAGGACGAACGCUGGCGGCGUGCCUAACACAUGCAAGUCGAGCGGGGACAUGCGACGGAUGAGAAGUUUUCGGAUGGAUCUGAAGAUGUAUGUUCUAGCGGCGGACGGGUGAGUAACGCGUGAGCAACCUGUCCUUCACAGGGGGAUAACACAGCGAAAGUUGUACUAAUACCGCAUGAGACCACAACGGGACAUCCCGCAGGGGUCAAAGGAGCAAUCCGGUGAAGGGUGGGCUCGCGUCCGAUUAGAUAGUUGGUGAGGUAACGGCCCACCAAGUCGACGAUCGGUAGCCGACCUGAGAGGGUGAUCGGCCACAUUGGGACUGAGACACGGCCCAAACUCCUACGGGAGGCAGCAGUGGGGAAUAUUGGGCAAUGGGGGAAACCCUGACCCAGCAACGCCGCGUGAGGGAAGAAGGUUUUCGGAUCGUAAACCUCUGUCCUUGGUGAAGAGUAAGAGACGGUAGCCAAGGAGGAAGCCCCGGCUAACUACGUGCCAGCAGCCGCGGUAAUACGUAGGGGGCGAGCGUUGUCCGGAAUGAUUGGGCGUAAAGGGCGCGUAGGCGGCCCGGUAAGUCUGGAGUGAAAGUCCUGCUUUUAAGGUGGGAAUUGCUUUGGAUACUGUCGGGCUUGAGUGCAGGAGAGGUAAGUGGAAUUCCCAGUGUAGCGGUGAAAUGCGUAGAGAUUGGGAGGAACACCAGUGGCGAAGGCGACUUACUGGACUGUAACUGACGCUGAGGCGCGAAAGUGUGGGGAGCAAACAGGAUUAGAUACCCUGGUAGUCCCCU